CAGUAGGUCAUAAUAUAAUAGUAACAGUACUUCUUCUGAUGUCCUCUACUUUUAUAGUUGAUACAGGGACUCAGCUAGAAAGAUUGUAGAAAAUCUGGGGAAGUACAGCAGCAGACUGCAGCCAUUGCCUUGAUAUAUUCAGUACCAUGGGAUCACUGCAUUUCUGGAAGUGAAAAUGAGAGUUCAAGCACAGAGGGAUGUGAAAGACAUCAUCUAGCAAAUGGCUCAGUUCCACCCCCUCUCCCACAGCACAAAUGCAGAGGAUGAAGCAGUCAUCACAGGAGUGUGCCAUGGAGAGAUGGAGGUGGUCUUCAGCUAUCUGAAGACUUCAGAUUACUACAAGUGAUGGAUCUCCGGAGCACUCCCCAGCCCCAUCUGCCCAUACAGUUUACUAAGCCACAGAAGACUGUUUAACCACUGAAGUAGCUAUCAGUAGACCAUCAGUGUUUUGUUUUUUUUAAAGAAUGUACUCAUUUGCAAGAGAAAGAGCCAAUACUUUGUGGGUUUGGGUGUGUGAGGUAGGGGGUCAGUAGUGUGUUAGAGUGCAGUAGUAAAAAAGUCA
rnacentral:lncRNA from 1 species